rnacentral:rRNA from 1 species
GCGGCAGCUACACAUGCAGUCGAGCGGUAGCACAGAGAAGCUUGCUCUCGGGUGACGAGCGGCGGACGGGUGAGUAAUGUCUGGGAAACUGCCUGAUGGAGGGGGAUAACUACUGGAAACGGUAGCUAAUACCGCAUAAUGUCGCAAGACCAAAGUGGGGGACCUUCGGGCCUCAUGCCAUCAGAUGUGCCCAGAUGGGAUUAGCUAGUAGGUGGGGUAACGGCUCACCUAGGCGACGAUCCCUAGCUGGUCUGAGAGGAUGACCAGCCACACUGGAACUGAGACACGGUCCAGACUCCUACGGGAGGCAGCAGUGGGGAAUAUUGCACAAUGGGCGCAAGCCUGAUGCAGCCAUGCCGCGUGUGUGAAGAAGGCCUUCGGGUUGUAAAGCACUUUCAGCGGGGAGGAAGGCGAUAAGGUUAAUAACCUUGUCGAUUGACGUUACCCGCAGAAGAAGCACCGGCUAACUCCGUGCCAGCAGCCGCGGUAAUACGGAGGGUGCAAGCGUUAAUCGGAAUUACUGGGCGUAAAGCGCACGCAGGCGGUCUGUCAAGUCGGAUGUGAAAUCCCCGGGCUCAACCUGGGAACUGCAUUCGAAACUGGCAGGCUAGAGUCUUGUAGAGGGGGGUAGAAUUCCAGGUGUAGCGGUGAAAUGCGUAGAGAUCUGGAGGAAUACCGGUGGCGAAGGCGGCCCCCUGGACAAAGACUGACGCUCAGGUGCGAAAGCGUGGGGAGCAAACAGGAUUAGAUACCCUGGUAGUCCACGCCGUAAACGAUGUCGAUUUGGAGGUUGUGCCCUUGAGGCGUGGCUUCCGGAGCUAACGCGUUAAAUCGACCGCCCUGGGGAGUACGGCCGCAAGGUUAAAACUCAAAAUGAAUUGACGGGGGCCCGCACAAGCGGUGGAAGCAUGGGGUUUAAUUCGAUGCAACCCGAAGAACCUUACCUGGUCUUGACAUCCAC